rnacentral:rRNA from 1 species
AGUGAACGCUGGCGGUAGGCCUAACACAUGCAAGUCGAACGGCAGCACAGUAAGAGCUUGCUCUUACGGGUGGCGAGUGGCGGACGGGUGAGGAAUACAUCGGAAUCUACUUUUUCGUGGGGGAUAACGUAGGGAAACUUACGCUAAUACCGCAUACGACCUACGGGUGAAAGCAGGGGAUCUCCGGACCUUGCGCGAUUGAAUGAGCCGAUGUCGGAUUAGCUAGUUGGCGGGGUAACGGCCCACCAAGGCGACGAUCCGUAGCUGGUCUGAGAGGAUGAUCAGCCACACUGGAACUGAGACACGGUCCAGACUCCUACGGGAGGCAGCAGUGGGGAAUAUUGCACAAUGGGCGAAAGCCUGACCCAGCCACACCGCGUGGGUGAAGAAGGCCUUCGGAUUGUAAAGCCCUUUUGUUAGGGAAGAAAAGAAGCGUGUGAAUAUCCCGACGUCCUGACGGUACCCAAAGAAUAAGCACCGGCUAACUUCGUG